GAUGAACGCUGGCGGCGUGCCUAAUACAUGCAAGUCGAGCGAACAGACGAGGAGCUUGCUCCUCUGACGUUAGCGGCGGACGGGUGAGUAACACGUGGAUAACCUACCUAUAAGACUGGGAUAACUUCGGGAAACCGGAGCUAAUACCGGAGAAUAUAUUGAACCGCAUGGUUCAAUAGUGAAAGACGGUUUUGCUGUCUCUUAUAGAUGGAUCCGCGCCGCAUUAGCUAGUUGGUAAGGUAACGGCUUACCAAGGCGACGAUGCGUAGCCGACCUGAGAGGGUGAUCGGCCACACUGGAACUGAGACACGGUCCAGACUCCUACGGGAGGCAGCAGUAGGGAAUAUUCCGCAAUGGGCGAAAGCCUGACGGAGCAACGCCGCGUGAGUGAUGAAGGUCUUCGGAUCGUAAAACUCUGUUAUUAGGGAAGAACAAAUGUGUAAGUAAAUAUGCACGUCUUGACGGUACCUAAUCAGAAAGCAACGGCUAACUACGUG
rnacentral:rRNA from 1 species